rnacentral:rRNA from 1 species
AUAAUAAUUUUACAUUUAUUGUUAGACUUAUGUAGAUAAUAUUAUCUAUAAUAAUUUCAUAUUUUUAUUUAUAAUAAAAACAACUACAUUCUUAGAUAUAUCAUGAUAUUUUUAAUAUUAUUUCUAAAUUUUUCAUAUAAAUUAAUAUUUUACAUUAUUAAUAUGUUUGAUAUGUAAUGUAAUAUUUCAUCAAACGCCAAAACGAUUGAUGUUAAGUAUAUAAAGAAACUAUUAUGGAUUAUCUAGCAGUAUAUCAUAGAAACUAAUUAGAUUGGGUAUAUACCGAUUAAGUUCUUGGAUAAAUCAAGUUUGUAAACGAAGUUAAUUGAAAUAUCUUAGUAACUUCAGGAAAAUAAAUCAAAUGAGAUUUUCCUGUUAAUAAAUAUAACAGGAAAACAGCCUUUAAAGUAAAAUGGAUAAACUCUGUUUGAAUAUAGGGAAACCUUUCUCUAAGGCUAAAUAUGAUAUACUAGCAAUAGUGAAUAGUACCGUAAGGGAAAGAUUUGAAAUAGUAGGUUUAUAAGCAGCUCAAAUUUAACUUAACAAGUAAACGAGAGCGUACCUUUUGCAUAAUGGGUCAGCAAGUUAAUACUAGGUGCGAGAUUAAGAAAUUAAACCUUAGUCCUAGAUAAACCAAUUAUUAAAUAAUGAAUAAGUACCUAAUAUUAGACCCGAAGCCUAGUGAUCUUACCAUGAUCAGGGUUAUAAAAGCUCGAACAGGUUAUCGUUGUAAAGAUAUCUGAAGAAUUGUGGUAAGUUAGUGAAAGACAAAUCUGACUAGGAUAGCUGGUUUUCUGCGAAACCUAUAUAAGUAGGUAAUUUAAAUUAUAUCAUUACAGGUACAGAAUUGUGAUCUCAGAUAAACUUUAAAGAUGUACUGCGUGUUAUAGCGAAGUAUAUUUUUAGUUUAUAUACAUUGGGGGAUCGUGAAGAUUUUAUCAGUGAGAAUUUGCUCUCGGAAGGGUAAUGAUAAAUAUUAAAUUGUCGGACAUAGUACGAUAAGGUUGUAUGUCUAAAGGGAAACAGCCCAGAACAAGAGUUAAGGUUCCAAAAUUAUUGUUAAGUGAAAUUAAGGAAGUUUUUUUCAAAUACAACCAGGAAAUAGGCUUAGAAGCGGCCAUUUUUUAAAGAUCUCGUAACAGAGCACUGGUUUAUAUAUUAAUAAAGUCACUUAAGAUUAAGUUAAACGCGCCGAAAAUUUAACGGAUCUAAACAAUAUACCGAAACCUUGUGCAUAGAUAAAAAUUCUAUUAAAAAAAGUAUAAAUAUCUAUGAGGUAGCAGAACGUUGAGUUGUUUAAAAUUUAGUAUGAUUCAUACUAAUAGCUAUAUUACCGGAAUGUUUUAGUAGCAUCCACUAUUAAGAUGUUUUAGUAAUAUGUAAAUGAUCUCAAGUGAUAAUGCUGACAUGAGUAACGAAAAAGGGAUCUCCCCUCGCCUUAAGCUUAUGGUAUUUUUUUAAUCACGGCCCCUAAAUUUAUUAAUCUUACCUAAAGGAUUAAAUGAUGGGAAAGUAUUUGUUUAUUUUAACUUUAUAUUACAACCAUUCAGGUUCUGGAAAAAAAUAUAUUAUACUAAACCGUACCUAAAUACUACCACAAGUAAGCAAGUAGAGUAUACAAAGGCGUUUGAGAUAACAAUCAUUAAGGAACUCGGCAAAUUGACACCGUAACUUCGGGAUAAGGUGUGCCAUUAUAUUAUGACAUAAUAAAAUUAUCAUAGAUAUAAUAGGAGACAUAGAAUGGUGUUGUACGACUGUUUAAUUAAAACAAAGCACUUUGCAUAAGAUAUAAAUCAAAGUAUUGAGUGUGAUUUCUGCCCGAUGUUGGCUGGUUAACGGAUUUUCUUAGCUAAAUAAUACGCUAGGUUUUAAAGGAAACCCCAAUCAAUGGCGGCCUUACCGAUGAGGGUCCUAAGGUAGCGGAAUACCCUGGCCGUUAAAUGCGGUCUUGCAUGAAUGAUUUAACGAUACAACAGCUGUCUCAAUGAUUGUCUCAGUGAAAUUGGAAUAACUGUGCAGAUACAGUUUUCUCCUAGUUAGACGAGAAGACCCUAUGCAGCUUUACUAUUUGUAGUUAUUGAAUAUGAUAUAACAAGUUGUAGAGUAUAAGGUAAUUGAUAAUUUAACAUUGAAACACCUUUACUUAGUGUAUCAUAUUAUUAGAAAGGAGGUAUUAAUAUCCUCUAAGUCUAGUAACUUAACUUUAAGAAACAAUAUAUAGUUUAACAACUAUAUAAGUGACAUUGACUAUUAGAUAGUUUAUGCGGGGCACAGAUCCCAUAAAUAGUACCUGGGUGUAUCCAAAGUUAAUAUUGUAAGUUUGUUUUUUACAAUUUAAUAUAUCUGUUAUUUUGUGAACCUUUUUCACGAGUAUUAACUAAUAUAUUAUAUACUUUAAUAUGUAAUAAAUUUCUUAAAUUUAUUCAAUUAUAAUUCUAUUAAGUUAGAUUUAUUAUAUUUUUUAAGUAAGGUUUUUACUAUAUGGAAAAUAGAUGUUAAUGGAUCAUUAUUAAAUAUUAUGGUCUAAUUUGUUUUACAGUAUCACUGUAAAAUGAUUAUUAAUUUAACUGGAAAAGUUUAAUGGCUUAACCUUGCUUUACUGUUUGACUUACAUGUCUAUCAGUCGCGUAAGCGGGGCAUACGAUCACAAGAUGCAGAAAGGAAAGGUCUUGGAUUUUUGAAAAAGCUACGCUAGGGAUAACAGGCUAAUUGCGCCAGAGAGUACAAAUUGAGUGCGCAGUUUGGCACCUCGAUGUCGGCUUAGCUCAUCCACAUGAAUGUAGGAAUCAUGAAGGGUACGACUGUUCGUCGGUUAAAGAGCUACACGAGCUGGGUUAAAUACGUCGUGAGACAGUAUGGUUUCUAUCUUCUAGGAGUAAUUAGAGUAAAACAAGGAUAG